UACGUAGGAGGCAAGCGUUGUCCGGAAUCGUUGGGCGUAAAGCGCGUGUAGGCGGCCCGAUAAGUCCGCUGUGAAAGUCCAGGGCUCAACCCUGGAAUGCCGGUGGAUACUGUCGGGCUCGAGUCCGGAAGAGGCGAGUGGAAUUCCUGGUGUAGCGGUGAAAUGCGCAGAUAUCAGGAGGAACACCGAUGGCGAAGGCAGCUCGCUGGGACGGUACUGACGCUGAGACGCGAAAGCGUGGGGAGGAAACAGG
rnacentral:rRNA from 1 species